GAUGAACGCUAGCGGCAGGCUUAACACAUGCAAGUCGAGGGGCAGCACGGGUAGCAAUACCUGGUGGCGACCGGCGCAAGGGUGCGUAACGCGUGAGCAACAUGCCCUAUACAGGGGGAUAAUCCAGGGAAACUUGGUCUAAUAUCCCAUAGUAUUUAGAGGAGGCAUCUUCUAUAAAUUAAAGCUUCGGUGGUAUAGGAUUGGCUCGCGUGACAUUAGCUAGAUGGUGAGGUAACGGCUCACCAUGGCAAUGAUGUCUAGGGGUUCUGAGAGGAAGGCCCCCCACACUGGGACUGAGACACGGCCCAGACUCCUACGGGAGGCAGCAGUGAGGAAUAUUGGACAAUGGAUGGAAAUCUGAUCCAGCCAUGCCGCGUGCAGGAAGACAGCCCUAUGGGUUGUAAACUGCUUUUAAUGGGAGCAAUAAGGUCUACGUGUAGACUGAUGAGAGUACCAUAUGAAUAAGC
rnacentral:rRNA from 1 species